rfam:Tncinocarpus reesii 1704 cont2.583 mitochondrial, whole genome shotgun sequence.
AACAUGUUAGUUUAAUGGUUAGAAUAUCGUGCUACGGACACGUUGAUAUAAGUUCGAAUCUUAUACAUGUUU